ensembl:lncRNA
GUGUGUGUGAACGCUGUGAAAAUGCCUAAUCAUGUACCUACUCAAGAGGUUGUGGAAGCCAAAGGUUCUCCCAGCAGGUCUGGCACGGGCUUUUCGUAUUUUGCAAUAAGGGAAGUAAUUUCAUCCCUGUUUACAGGCACAAGUUAAAUACUAUCCCAAUUAAUACAGUACGUCGUAUGUUUACAGAAAAAAAGAAUCUGAUUGCACUUCUUACUAAAGCAACAUCAUCCGAUGGAAUCACUCUGCAAUGGUUUUUGGUAGUAAGGGAGCACGCAUCACAAGCUGCUGAUCCAGUUGCCUGCUGAGAGCACAGACAUACAUCAACCACCAUAGGAGUAUCUUAGCCACUGGACUGUAGGGCAGAGGGAGGGCAAAGGUUUUUAUCUUUCGCGUUGAGGCUGAGCCACUGUGUGGCAUGGGGAGCCUGAGGAGGCUGAAGGGCUAAACCUUCAGCUCUUGGGCAUUCUGGAAGAUGAUAAUUUUUGAAAUGUGUGGCUGCAGCUUCACCUGAAUUCUGCACAGAAAAUAAAAUGAUCAUCUUUGAGUCUGAAUAUGCAUUUUGCACAGGAUCCUGCCCAUUUUCCCCACUUAGAAGCUUCUAGCUUAUCAAAUUAUCCAGUAGUCAUUCGGUUAGUAAAUGUCAAUGAAUGAUUAUUAAUUGAACUUGCUUAUGCAUUUUACCAUGGUUAAUUCUGCACACUUACUGCUGAACUGCUGGGUGAAUUAGGAGAUUAUUGGUGUGGUGAAUUUGUAUGCCACAUUCAAUGCAUAAUUUGGAGCUUUGCUUUCUCAUUUGUAGAGAGAAGUGUUGGGAUGCAUGGUGAACUGAGAGCCAGUGGACAACACCACCUCAUGUAGUUUGAUUCAUUUCUGAAGAAGAUUUGAAGCACGACUGGUGAAUGAUAUGGAUUGACUUAUCUGCUGCUCCUUGGGAGAACCAUCUUUUAUUACUCUUUAUCUGCUGACGAGGAGUCGAGUGUUAUAUCAUCCUGAUUGCUAAGUCUUAUAAUCUAGGUCAGAGAUGGAUUAAGCUCUGCCAGUGCAGAGAGGUGCUGGUAUUAUUUCCAGACUGUUUUGGAAGUUAGUAAAAUGUAUCUUUGGGAGGUUUUAUGAAAGCAUUUUGUCCUGGAAAGAACAGAUGCUACAUUUCCUACAUUUAUUUGGAGGACUAGAACACAUGUAUAUGUAAAUAAAGAAAACUCUGAACAGGUCUGUAGGUGUCAUAAGGUUAUAUAAAAUUUAGUAUGCCACUUAAAAA